rnacentral:rRNA from 1 species
AUUGAACGCUGGCGGCAUGCCUCACACAUGCAAGUCGAACGGAUUUUGGGGCUUGCUCCAAAGUUAGUGGCGAACGGGUGAGUAAAGCAUCGGAACGUACCCAGUCGUGGGGGAUAACGUAGCGAAAGUUACGCUAAUACCGCAUACGAUCUGAGGAUGAAAGCGGGGGACCUUCGGGCCUCGCGCGAUUGGAGCGGCCGAUGUCGGAUUAGCUAGUUGGUGAGGUAAAGGCUCACCAAGGCGACGAUCCGUAGCUGGUCUGAGAGGACGACCGGCCUCCGUGGGACGGGGAGCGGGCCGAGACGCCUACGGGAGGCAGCAGUGGGGAAUUGUGGACAAUGGGCGAAAGCCUGAUCCAGCCAUGCCGAGUGAGUGAAGAAGGCCUUCGGGUUGUAAAGCUCUUUCAGACGGAAAGAAAUCUCUCGGGUGAAUAUCCCGGGAGGAUGACGGUACCGUAAGAAGAAGCACCGGCUAACUACGUGCCAGCCGCCGCCGUAACAC